GACGAACGCUGGCGGCGUGCUUAACACAUGCAAGUCGAACGAAGGCUUCGGCCUUAGUGGCGCACGGGUGCGUAACGCGUGGGAAUCUGCCCUUGGGUUCGGAAUAACUCAGAGAAAUUUGAGCUAAUACCGAAUGAUGUCGAAAGACCAAAGAUUUAUCGCCCAAGGAUGAGCCCGCGUAGGAUUAGCUUGUUGGUGUGGUAAAGGCUCACCAAGGCGACGAUCCUUAGCUGGUCUGAGAGGAUGAUCAGCCACACUGGGACUGAGACACGGCCCAGACUCCUACGGGAGGCAGCAGUGGGGAAUAUUGGACAAUGGGCGAAAGCCUGAUCCAGCAAUGCCGCGUGAGUGAUGAAGGCCUUAGGGUUGUAAAGCUCUUUUACCAGGGAUGAUAAUGACAGUACCUGGAGAAUAAGCUCCGGCUAACUCCGUG
rnacentral:rRNA from 1 species